rnacentral:rRNA from 1 species
GACGAACGCUGGCGGCGUGCUUGACACAUGCAAGUCGAACGGACAGACAGAGAGCUUGCUCUCUUGAAGUUAGUGGCGAACGGGUGAGUAACGCGUAAUCAACCUGCCCUUCAGAGGGGGAUAACAACGGGAAACCGUUGCUAAUACCGCGUACGAUUCAUGAACGGCAUCGUUUAUGAAUGAAAGGUGGCCUCUAUGUAUAAGCUAUCGCUGAAGGAGGGGAUUGCGUCUGAUUAGCUAGUUGGAGGGGUAACGGCCCACCAAGGCAAUGAUCAGUAGACGGUCUGAGAGGAUGAACGGCCACAUUGGGACUGAGACACGGCCCAAACUCCUACGGGAGGCAGCAGUGGGGAAUCUUCCGCAAUGGACGAAAGUCUGACGGAGCAACGCCGCGUGAGUGAUGAAGGUCUUCGGAUUGUAAAGCUCUGUUAAUCGGGACGAAAGAGUUCUGCGUGAAUAAUGCAGAAAAGUGACGGUACCGGAAUAGAAAGCCACGGCUAACUACGUGCCAGCCGCCGCAGUAA